rnacentral:lncRNA from 1 species
UUCCAAUUGAAUUUCAAAUUGAAAGGCAAAUUGCUGAAUAGGAAAGAUUCUCCAAGUUUGCUAAACUUUCAGUUCAAGUGGUCUACAUUUUUAAAUUUACUUUGGAUCCCUACAAAUCUCGCUUUUGUGUAAAUAUUUACUGAAUGUAUUUUGUAAGGAGCAGGAGGGUGACCAACUUUACCUGCAAGUGGGUGGAUUUAGCACCACGACAGUUACAAUAUACUGUAUUAGUUAUGUAGCUUGGAGUAUCCCUUUAUCUAUAGGUAUCAAAUGUUAGAGAUUUCUGGUACUACAUAAACCGUAACAACAAAAUAGAGCAAUGGUGAAAAGGAUCAGAAGAUAAUGUCAGACGGAAGCAGGAGCAGGUUGUAUAUCUGUAUUUUUAUAAAAAUACAUUCAUCAAAUUUUUGUUCUGUGGAUUCCAGACAGAGCUUCGAUAUUUGUUGGAUUAUUAAAUCACAAAUAAAUAUGAGGUUUCCAUGUAAAACAAAAAUUACAUUAUGCGCUAACUUAUUUUACAAGGUGGUAAAUUAGUAGAAUAAAAGGACUGUAUAGCUGUGAAUAAAUCACAAGAAAUACCAGGGGAGUGCAGUAUAAAAGUGACCAUAAAUAAUUCUUAUAGCGUAGAUUCAAUAAUUCUGUGUAUAUCUGUAUAUAAAAUACAAUAAAAAUACAUACAUAGGGCAAUAUUGUAAGAAAUAUGUAUCAAUAUGUAUAUGUGUAAUCUGCAAUGGAACCACUCGCAUGAACCGGAGCCUCAUAUAGCAGGCUCUGGCUUUAGCAGCAUGGAGAUACAAUAGCUUGUGUCCUCUCAGGUAGUCUGGUCAUCAAUCCCAGGAAACAGGCAGGAGAUGGCUUUUUGUAAGCAGAAAAAACAUUUUAUUGGAUCACACAGCCAUAUUGUAUUUUAUACACAGAAUCCUUGAAUGAACGCUAUUAGUAUUAUUUAUUGUUACUAUUUAUAUUGCACUCCCCUGGCAUUUCUUGUUCACAGCUAUACAGUCCUUUUAUUCUAUACAUUUGUUUUGUGCUCCAGUGGGUGAUCGGUGGCACUGGGGAUUGUUGCAUAUAUUUUGAAGCGCCAAGUUAAACCUCAUUGUUACGUGUAUUUGGUAAAUUAGUAGAAUUGACAUUGGCAAUACUCAUCUAAGUAUAAGAAUAUCGAACAGUUUUGUUCCUGAAUUAAAAUUAUCAAAACAUGAGAGGCAAUUAGCUUAUACAUAAGGAAGAACUCUAUACCUUGUUGUAGCAAUUGCACAGAACAAAAUAUGUUUUUGUUGAUAUCUUUUUUUUGGUGUGCAAAGUGCUGCAUGCAAUAUACUGUAGGAGGCAGUUUGUAUCUAAUAUCAAAUUAAAAAAACACUGUACUGUCUUAAAGUGUCACUAUAAGCUUCAUAUCCACUACAACUCAUUAGGUUUAUGGUGCUCAGACUCAUGUGCCUCUCCAAAGUUCUUAUCAACUGGUUUUCGUGUGGCCCCUUAUCUGGGCACAGUUAAUGCAUAAAAGAACUUUCACAUAAGCCCAUCCAUAUUUGGAUAGCAGUAAUGGGCUACAAGAGCAGAUGGCGGUUAGCCCAGUACUCUCCCCGCUUAUCGUUGUCAGCCAAAUUUACUGAAAGAAGGACUGGGCUUUAUUCUCCUAAAUACUGAAUUAACGUUAAUCAAAGGGGAAGGUCCUGUGGACAUUUUGUACCAUGAGCUGUAGUGGUUUUGGUACUGAGAG